rnacentral:rRNA from 1 species
UACGUAGGGUGCGAGCGUUGUCCGGAAUUAUUGGGCGUAAAGGGCUCGUAGGCGGUCUGUUGCGUCAGGAGUGAAAACUCGGGGCUUAACCCCGAGCCUGCUUCUGAUACGGGCAGACUAGAGGUAUGCAGAGGAGAACGGAAUUCCUGGUGUAGCGGUGAAAUGCGCAGAUAUCAGGAGGAACACCGGUGGCGAAGGCGAGUCCCUGGACAACUCCUGACACUGAGGCACGAAAGCUAGGGGAGCAAACAGG